AGUGAACGCUGGCGGUAGGCCUAACACAUGCAAGUCGAACGGCAGCACAGAGGAGCUUGCUCCUUGGGUGGCGAGUGGCGGACGGGUGAGGAAUACAUCGGAAUCUACUCUGUCGUGGGGGAUAACGUAGGGAAACUUACGCUAAUACCGCAUACGACCUACGGGUGAAAGCAGGGGAUCUUCGGACCUUGCGCGAUUGAAUGAGCCGAUGUCGGGUUAGCUAGUUGGCGGGGUAAAGGCCCACCAAGGCGACGAUCCGUAGCUGGUCUGAGAGGAUGAUCAGCCACACGGGAACUGAGACACGGUCCAGACUCCUACGGGAGGCAGCAGUGGGGAAUAUUGGACAAUGGGCGCAAGCCUGAUCCAGCCAUACCGCGUGGGUGAAGAAGGCCUUCGGGUUGUAAAGCCCUUUUGUUGGGAAAGAAAUCCAUCUGGUUAAUACCCGGGUGGGAUGACGGUACCCAAAGAAUAAGCACCGGCUAACUUCGUGCCAGCAGCCGCCGUAA
rnacentral:rRNA from 1 species